UGCGUAGGCGGAAGAUUAAGUCAGUGGUGAAAUCCUGCAGCUCAACUGUAGAACUGUCAUUGAUACUGAUCUUCUUGAAUACAGUUGAGCUAGGCGGAAUAUGUAAUGUAGCGGUGAAAUGCUUAGAUAUUACAUAGAACACCGAUUGCGAAGGCAGCUUACUAAACUGUGAUUGACGCUGAGGCACGAAAGCGUGGGGAGCGAACAGGAUUAGAUACCCUGGUAGUCC
rnacentral:rRNA from 1 species